rnacentral:rRNA from 1 species
UGGGGAAUAUUGCACAAUGGGCGCAAGCCUGAUGCAGCCAUGCCGCGUGUGUGAAGAAGGCCUUCGGGUUGUAAAGCACUUUCAGCGGGGAGGAAGGCGUUAAGGUUAAUAACCUUGGCGAUUGACGUUACCCGCAGAAGAAGCACCGGCUAACUCCGUGCCAGCAGCCGCGGUAAUACGGAGGGUGCAAGCGUUAAUCGGAAUUACUGGGCGUAAAGCGCACGCAGGCGGUCUGUCAAGUCGGAUGUGAAAUCCCCGGGCUCAACCUGGGAACUGCAUUCGAAACUGGCAGGCUAGAGUCUUGUAGAGGGGGGUAGAAGUCCAGGUGUAGCGGUGAAAUGCGUAGAGAUCUGGAGGAAUACCGGUGGCGAAGGCGGCCCCCUGGACAAAGACUGACGCUCAGGUGCGAAAGCGUGGGGAGCAAACAGG